UAGAGUUUGAUUCCCGGCUCAGGAUGAACGCUGGCGGUAUGCUUAACACAUGCAAGUCGAACGGUGUAGAGAGUUAGCAUUGCUAGGUCUCUAGAUAGUGGCGGACGGGUGAGUAACGCGUGAGAAUCUAGCUCUAGGUUCGGGACAACCACUGGAAACGGUGGCUAAUACCGGAUAUGCCGAGAGGUGAAAGGUUAACUGCCUGGAGAAGAGUUCGCGUCUGAUUAGCUAGUUGGUAGUGUAAGGGACUACCAAGGCGACGAUCAGUAGCUGGUCUGAGAGGAUGAUCAGCCACACUGGAACUGAGACACGGUCCAGACUCCUACGGGAGGCAGCAGUGGGGAAUUUUCCGCAAUGGGCGAAAGCCUGACGGAGCAAUACCGCGUGAGGGAGGAAGGCUCUUGGGUUGUAAACCUCUUUUCUCAGGGAAUAAGCAAGUGAAGGUACCUGAGGAAUCAGCAUCGGCUAACUCCGUGCCAGCAGCCGCGGUAAUACGGAGGAUGCAAGCGUUAUCCGGAAUGAUUGGGCGUAAAGCGUCCGUAGGUAGCAGUGUGUGUCUAUUGUUAAAGAGUUUGGCUCAACCAAAUAAGGGCGGUAGAAACUACACAGCUAGAGUGCGUUCGGGGCAGAGGGAAUUCCUGGUGUAGCGGUGAAAUGCGUAGAGAUCAGGAAGAACACCGGUGGCGAAAGCGCUCUGCUAGGCCGCAACUGACACUGAGGGACGAAAGCUAGGGGAGCGAAUGGGAUUAGAUACCCCAGUAGUCCUAGCCGUAAACGAUGGAUACUAGGCGUUGAGAGUAUCGACCCUCUCAGUGCCGUAGCUAACGCGUUAAGUAUCCCGCCUGGGGAGUACGCACGCAAGUGUGAAACUCAAAGGAAUUGACGGGGGCCCGCACAAGCGGUGGAGUAUGUGGUUUAAUUCGAUGCAACGCGAAGAACCUUACCAGGGCUUGACAUGUCUGGAAUCUUGAUGAAAGUUGAGAGUGCCUUCGGGAGCCAGAACACAGGUGGUGCAUGGCUGUCGUCAGCUCGUGUCGUGAGAUGUUGGGUUAAGUCCCGCAACGAGCGCAACCCUCGUACUUAGUUGCCAGCACUUCGGGUGGGCACUCUAAGGAGACUGCCGGUGACAAACCGGAGGAAGGUGGGGAUGACGUCAAGUCAGCAUGCCCCUUACGCCCUGGGCUACACACGUACUACAAUGCUACGGACAAAGGGCAGCGAGCCAGCGAUGGCAAGCAAAUCUCGUAAAACCGUAGCUCAGUUCAGAUCGCAGGCUGCAACUCGCCUGCGUGAAGUCGGAAUCGCUAGUAAUUGCAGGUCAGCAUACUGCGGUGAAUUCGUUCCCGGGCCUUGUACACAC
rnacentral:rRNA from 1 species